UGGUCAGACGUUAGAUUGGUGGGGAACUUGAUCUGAAACCUGAUCUUCAGAUCCCCUUUCUUAGACGGUUCCUUUGUGAUUGGCAUCCCUUCGCCCUUCACAACCUCUUCAGAAGUAGGAUUGAUGACGGACUUCACUGGAACGGUUAAAUUCCGCCCAUCCAGAGUUGUCAGUUGGACUGUGCAACCGGUCAAAGCCUCCACGAGCGAGAUCCUAUGCGUGUAAAUAAGAUCAUCCUUGUCUCGCUUGAAUCUAGCGUGCGACCGCUCUUCUAUUAUAAACACUAGGUCUGAUGGUAUGAUGUUAGGCUUCUCAUUGCCUUUCUUGGGAAAGGUUACCUUUGUACCCUUCUUCCAUCCAGGCUUGAUAUCGAUUGUCAGGAUCUCCUCCAGAUUUGUCGGUUUCCUGCACAAAAACAUAGAAACAUUUUAAAAAUCUGUCUCACCCAGUGGCGUCGAGGACAUCCCUAGAGAUCUUCAUCUUCUUGGUGGCGCCCCUGUAGAGGUCCUCAAGGCUGCAAGCCAGCUGCCGCUCGAUCGCCGGAGCUUUCGUCGCCGACGUCUCCCCUGCCCGGGGGGACCCACCGAACCCCGGGAACCCGGCGCCGGGGGCGCGUGGCCCCGCGCCGCCGAAUGCGCCCCCGAACAUCUCCGAGAAGAUCUCCUCGGCGCUCCUCGGGCUGAAGCGGAAGCCUCCUCCGCCGCCGUGGGAGGAGGAGGAGGAGGUGGUCGGCGGCGGCGCCGCGCCGGCCUUGAGGCCUUCCUCGCCGAACUGGUCGUAGAUGGCGCGCUUCUGCGGGUGUACGGACGUCGUAGGCCUCGGAGACUUGCUUGAAGAGGGAGUCGUCGGCGUGCGGCGAGCGGUUCUUGUCGGGGUGGUGCUUCAUGGCGAGGCGGCGGUAGGAUCUCUUGAGCUCCUCGUCGGUGGCGCCGCGGCCCACGCCGAGCACCUUGUAGUAGUCCAGCCCCAUC
rnacentral:sRNA from 1 species